rnacentral:rRNA from 1 species
GAGUUUGAUCCUGGCUCAGAGCGAACGCUGGCGGCAGGCCUAACACAUGCAAGUCGAGCGCCCAGCAAUGGGAGCGGCAGACGGGAUAGUAACACGUGGGAACGUGCCCUUUCAGUUCGGAACAACCCAGGGAAACUUGGGCUAAUACCGAAUACGCCCUUACGGGGAAAGAUUUAUCGCUGAAGGAUCGGCCCGCGUCUGAUUAGCUAGUUGGUGGGGUAAUGGCCCACCAAGGCUACGAUCAGUAGCUGGUCUGAGAGGAUGAUCAGCAUCACUGGGACUGAGACAGGGCCCAGACUCCUACGGGAGGCAGCAGUGGGGAAUAUUGGACAAUGGGCGCAAGCCUGAUCCAGCCAUGCCGCGUGGAUGAUGAAGGCCCUAGGGUUGUAAAGUCUUUUAACGGGGAAGAUAAAUGAGGUACCCGUAGAAUAAAGCCCCGGCUAACUUCGUGCCAGCCGCCGCCGUAAG